CGGCCACAUCACAUUAAAACACCGGCUCCCGUACGAUCAAUGAAGUUAAGCAAAGUCUAGCCCUGAUUAGUAUCCAGAUGGGUGACCGCCUGUGAAUACUAGGUGCUGUAA